GGCAAGUGAAGCGGCAACGCUCAAUUUGAAAUCUGGCUCCCUUGGGGGUCCGAAUUGUAAUUUGCAGAGGAUGCCUCGGGUGCGGGUUCCUUCCGAGUUCCCUGGAACGGGACGCCCUAGAGGGUGAGAGCCCCGUCUGGUCGGAAACCCAGCCCAUGUGAGGCUCCCUCGACGAGUCGAGUAGUUUGGGAAUGCUGCUCUAAGGGGAGGUAUACUCCUUCCAAGGCUAAAUACCGGCUAGAGACCGAUAGCGCACAAGUAGAGUGAUCGAAAGAUGAAAAGCACUUUGAAAAGAGAGUCAAAUAGCACGUGAAAUUGCUGAAAGGGAAGCGCUUAUUACCAGACUUGGGUUCGGCGGUUCAACCGGCGCCACGCGCCGGGGCACUCCGCCGGCCCAGGCCAGCAUCAGCUCUCCGUCGGGGGCAAAGGCGUCGGGAAUGUAGCUCCCCCUCGGGGGAGUGUUAUAGCCCGGCGUGUCAUACCCUUCGGGGGGCUGAGGUCCGCGCUCCGCAAGGAUGCUGGCGUAAUGGUAAUCAGUGACCCGUCUUGAAACACGGACCAAGGAGUCAACCUUAUGUGCGAGUGCCCGGGCGUAAAACCCCAGCGCGUAAUGAAAGUGAACGUAGGUGAGAGCUUCGGCGCAUCACCGACCGAUCCUGAUGUCCUCGGACGGAUUUGAGUGAGAGCAUAUAGGGUUGGACCCGAAAGAAGAUGAACUAUGCGUGUGUAGGGUGAAGCCAGAGGAAACUCUGGUGGAGGCUCGCAGCGGUUCUGACGUGCAAAUCGAUCGUCAAACAUGCGCAUGGGGGCGAAAGACUAAUCGAAUCUUCUGGUAGCUGGUUUCCGCCGAAGUU
rnacentral:rRNA from 1 species